ACAUGCCUACAAUUUAGCGUUAAUUCCCUGGAUCCCAUUAGAACUCUGUAGUUAAAUGCGCUCGGGCUAGAGUAGUACUGGGAUGGGUGACCACCCAGGAAGUCCUAGUAUCUUACAUGCC
rfam:Picea glauca, whole genome shotgun sequence.